CCUACGGGGGGCUGCAGUCGGGAAUUUUGGGCAAUGGGCGAAAGCCUGACCCAGCAACGCCGCGUGAAGGAUGAAGUAUUUCGGUAUGUAAACUUCGAAAGAAUGGGAAGAAUCAAUGACGGUACCAUUUAUAAGCUCCGGCUAACUACGUGCCAGCAGCCGCGGUAAUACGUAGGGAGCAAGCGUUGUUCGGAUUUACUGGGCGUAAAGGGCGCGUAGGCGGCGCGACAAGUCACUUGUGAAAUCUCCGGGCUUAACGGGGAACGGGCAAGUGAAACUGUCAUGCUAGAGUGCAGAAAGGGCAAUCGGAAUUCUUGGUGUAGCGGUGAAAUGCGUAGAUAUCAAGAGGAACACCUGAGGCGAAGGCGGGUUGCUAGGCUGACACUGACGCUGAGGCGCGAAAGCCAGGGGAGCAAACGGGAUUAGAUACCCUAGUAGUC
rnacentral:rRNA from 1 species